AUGGAAGGGAUGAAUAUUUCCCCAGAUGAUCGACGAUGAAAUCAUCGAGCGCUCUUCUCUUGUUCUCAAGAGGAAGUCCAAGCCAGGAUAUUCUGAUCCAU